UUUGAUCCUGGCUCAGAACGAACGCUGGCGGCAGGCCUAACACAUGCAAGUCGAGCGCACCCUUCGGGGCGAGCGGCGGACGGGUUAGUAACGCGUGGGAACGUACCCUUUUCUACGGAAUAGCCUUUGGAAACGAAGAGUAAUUCUGUAUACGCCCUUCGGGGGAAAGAUUUAUCGGAGAAGGAUCGGCCCGCGUUAGAUUAGAUAGUUGGUGGGGUAACGGCCUACCAAGUCUACGAUCUAUAGCUGGUUUUAGAGGAUGAUCAGCAACACUGGGACUGAGACACGGCCCAGACUCCUACGGGAGGCAGCAGUGGGGAAUCUUAGACAAUGGGCGCAAGCCUGAUCCAGCCAUGCCGCGUGAGUGAUGAAGGCCUUAGGGUCGUAAAGCUCUUUCGCCAGAGAUGAUAAUGACAGUAUCUGGUAAAGAAACCCCGGCUAACUCCGUGCCAGCAGCCGCGGUAAUAAGGG
rnacentral:rRNA from 1 species